rnacentral:lncRNA from 1 species
CUUUUCCUCUCCCAGGUGCGCUUCCCUGCUUGAUCUGUGUACCCUGCUCUUUCUCCUUCAUUCCGCAGCCUCCUUUGCCCUGUGACCUGCAGGUACUGGACGGUCCCUAGAGAGGAUACCGGGACGCUCCUGAAGCCGCGAGAUGGAUGGGUCUUCCAUGAUACUGAAGGGAGAGCCACAUGUUGAUGCCCAGGACCAGCUGCCUCCUUGGUCUGAAAGGCCUGAUCGAGGCCAGGAUUGGCUAUGAGAGCUGGGAAAUGGGACCAUCUUUGAAGCCAUGGGAGAGGGUGAGAGCCACCAUCACUCAUGUUCUUGAAUGGGAACUGCCUGGAGACCCUGAAGAAGAAGGAGCCUGAAGGAGGAAGGAGGAGGCUGAGCCAUCCCGGGAACAUGGGCUGGAUGAGGCCAAGCCAGGAGACGACACCACCAGAUAGAAGUCACCAUUCAGGAUUUGGACUUUUCUGUGGAGAUCCUGGCCCCGAGAUCGAACCCUUCUCCCUGUGUUCCCGCAGGAGAUGGUGCUGGAGAUCCACCAGCUGUUCAUGGACCAUGAAUACCCAUGUCACCACAUCACUUCUCACUGCACCUGGGUGGCAGCACACUGGACCACGUCUCAGAGCUGCGCAGCAUGGCAGGGCUGCAGGCGGGCUUGCUGCUCCACGUGGUGGAAGAGCCCUGCACAAUGCACAAGGCCCACGGUGAUGAGUGCCACAUUUGAGACUGCUCAGGAGCCUGGACCCAGCUGAUGCAGCUCCUUGUCCUUCCUGAGCGUCUUCACUGACAGUGGCCUGAGAGACGGCAGGAGCAGAAAGACUUGGAGAUGGACCCCACCGACUGCACACCACCCAAGUACAUCCUGCUAGGGACCCUGGAACAGCCACUGUGUCCCCUGCAACCCCAGAACGGUGACUAAAAGCCCCUGAAAGUGCUCACCGUGAGCGGCUGGUACCUGUCCCCUGGGAACUGCAAGAUGCACAGGACCUUGUGUACCUGUUUGUGAUCACAGCCGAGGACCAGCGAGGUAGCAUUACCACAUCCACACAGGGCUUUUACCAUAACUGCCCCAGUACUGGAACGAGGAGCUGCAGAUGAUGAGGGACCUACCCAACAAGAACCAACCUGAGCAGCUGCUUCAAGAAAAAGCCAUGUUCAAGGUGCCUGAAUCCCCUGGUAAGUGAGUGACAGCCUCACAGCCUCAGGCCCACCUGGCUCCUGCUGGAAGGUUUUCUUGUGCUCGGGAGAGAAGUGAGGGAAGCCGGCAGUCCCAGCCCUGUCAGGUGCCCUGAAGGCCCGUCAGGUUUGCCCUGCAAGGCCUUCUAGCAUUCUGCUUCCUGGGAGACCAUCCCCCACCUUUCUCCGGCCUCUGAGACUUUGAGUCCUUGGGAGGAGAAGGCCCUCCUUGCUAUCUGGGCUGAGUGGCCAGGGCCAUCCAGCUUCCCACCCUCCACUGACUGCCAUGGGGCCCUCCCCUGAGCACAUGGUGCCCAACUGUAGCCCUUCUAGGGCAGGGGCUCAUUGGCAGCACUUGCAGCUUGCUGGCACUUAAAAGUCAUUAGUGCGGUUACUGAGAGAAAUGAGGAAAAAAUAAUUGUUAAAAAAAAAAAAAAA